rnacentral:lncRNA from 1 species
AUUUGGAAAGAUGACUAUAAUGUUGUGGUGGAAAAGUGUUUGCAAAGUGUCGCUCUGGGAGAAAAGUGGCUAACAACUUGCAAGCAGCUUACUGGGCUUUUUUGGCCCAGCUUCAGCUCCAAUCCUUGGAAAGAAGCCGCAUAUCAGCCCUCGGAGUUGGAGCAAUUUAUAUCUCGAAUCCAAGAGGUAGUCAACAUCAGGACUGCUCACAAACAGCUCCUGAGACUAUCCACUCCAGAGGAGCAAAGCGAUUUGGAUGCCGACAAAGUCUUCAAGCCUUUCCUAGAUGUGAACAUUUUCAGCUGCGACGAUGUCACCAAAGACUUACUAAAAGCUCGAAAGGAGUUUGAGUAUCUCCUGCAACCAGCCGAAGAAAGAGUGGCUUCGAAGCUGAAGAAGCAGCUGAUGAGCGUAAAUGCAAACACC